rnacentral:rRNA from 1 species
AUGUAUGCUUCUAGAUCCCCUCCAUUGAUCGCACGAUGGGACGAAAUGAUGGCUACUAUAAGAAGCGAUGCUUACGAGAAAGGAGGUCUUCAUAAUGGGCUGAUUGAAAUGGUAGUUGAAGUCAUGAAUGCACGCAUUGCUGAUCAUGAAAAGAAGGUAGGCAGGAAGUUAAUGGAAAUUGAGCACAAAUUUGAUGUCAAAUACCAGACUCUAGGUGAAGACUUGAUCGACAUGAAGACUAAAACUGGCACUAAUCCUAGGUUGUCGAAGGCCGAGGACGAAAUUAAAGACUUAAGGAGGGAACUCCAUAUAUGA